UACAGAGGUCCCAAGCGUUGUUCGGAUUCACUGGGCGUAAAGGGUGCGUAGGUGGUAAGGCAAGUCAGGUGUGAAAUCUCCGGGCUCAACCCGGAAAUGGCAUUCGAAACUACCUUGCUAGAGGGUUUGAGGGGGGACUGGAAUACUUGGUGUAGCAGUGAAAUGCGUAGAUAUCGGGAGGAACACCAGUGGCGAAGGCGACUACCUGGCCUGUUCUUGACGCUGAGGCGCGAAAGCUAGGGGAGCAAACGGG
rnacentral:rRNA from 1 species